UCUGACUAUCUAAUAAUUAGCCUGAUUAUCUAACAAUCUAAAUCAGUUGUCAUGAUAUUGAAAAUAUCAAACUUUCUACCUUCCAGUUAAUUUCCUUAUCUACAUUUUCAUAGAAUACCAAGAUUCUUUUUUAACGAAAAAGAAAGAUGGGGGAAUAUUAUCUCCUAGCCCCUGAAUUCUGGAGUCUUCUAAUGAUUAUUUUUACCAAGUAAAUAAAUCCAAGAGUCAACGAAAUGUGGUUUACUGCUAUGCUUCCUGGAAUUUCUUGCAGAAUUAUAGCAUCUCAGAGUUGGAAGGAAUUCUUCAUAUGACCACACUGAAUUCUUUUCCUGUCGGUCUGCAUCACAUUUGUGAAGGGAGAAUCCCAGAAGAGAGGAAAGACAAGAUGCCACCUCGUACUGUAGAAGUCGAAGAGGGCAGAGUUUCUCCCUUUGCCCCGGCAACGAGGAAAUUAGAACAUCACCUGGCCUCGGCAGAUCAAAGGCCCCACUUGGGACGUGCCACCUGUUGGGAAGCACAAGCCUCCAGCAGAGGUGGAUUUGAGGGUCCAGCAGCAUGGCAAUGACCUUGCAGGGGGACACAGCCCAGAUGCAUUAUGACAACUGUCCAGCUGUGACAGCACCAGUGGCAGCAUCCUAAACAGACGAUCCCGUGGCAAAACCUCCGCUGUGCCUCUUGAUUUUCAUUCACUCCAGUCACCUGGUUCUCUAGUCGUCCCACUGACUGUGAGCUGCAAGGUAUUCUUCCAGUAAAUUCAACUUCUGCUCAAGUCGGAAGAGAUUUUCGUUGGUUGCAGCCAGGAAAUCUGACUGGUAUGCCAGUCUUUCCUGUGUGGAUACAAGCUCCAAUAACAGCUUGGUAUGGUGGCCUUGACUGGGCCAUUUCCUUCUCUCAGGUUGACCUUGCAACCAUGCAUGAAUUGCAUGCUUUGCUUUCUCUGAAAUCUGGAGCUGUGUGUACUCCGAGGACAGAUAACAGGGGACCUUAGAAAACAAGUGCCCCAACAAACUAGGAAAAAUAACUGGAAAAGGGAGGGUGCCUCUGAUGCCUUCUUUGCAGGGAGGUGGAUAUGAUCACUCAAGAACAAAUGAAAUCAACUUUGUCUAUUGAUUCUUUUGUGGGGGGUGGGGGAG
rnacentral:lncRNA from 1 species